rnacentral:lncRNA from 1 species
AGAGAGAGAGAGAGAGAGAGAGAGAGAGAGAGAGAGAGAAGAGAGAGAGAGAGAGAGAAGAGAGAGAGAGAGAGAGAGAGAGAGAGAGAGAGAGAGGAGAGAGAGAGAGAGAUCAACACGAGGCAAUUAAAGUAGACUGAUUCUUGUUCUAAGCACAAUCAGAUGAGGUAGAAUACAACCGAACAUGGUCCAGAUUCGGUUAUCCAUUUUACAAGACUUAGAUUUCACUCCUCUGUUUCUAAGACUACAAACUGUACUACUAUUAACUACUGCCAGUUUUCAUUUGGAUUUGUGGUUCAGAGACCAUGCGAAGGAUAACAACAUCGAUGGAUCUAGUUAACCCUGAGACUUACAAGUUAUAACAUUGACUAAGAGAGAAAUAGAUUGCAAAACUAACCU